AGAAUGCGAAGAUGGAACUUAGACGAUGACCUGUCACAUAGGUGGCAAACCACAGCUGACCCUGAAGCAAUAAGAAAUGCAAAGCAAUGCUGUGGCAGGACAUGCACUAAUCCCAGGGAGAAUAGGGACUAGCUAGACACCAAAAGAGUGGGACCAUUGGUGGGCUGUUGACCUCCAGGAGGAUCAGAGUGCUCGGCUGCAGGACUAUGACCCAAAACCUCAUCCUCUCAGAACCUUCUGUGCUGACCUACCCAACCCACCAUCCAGGAGAGCAGCUGUAUCAAGCACAGUGCUGUAUGUGGGGGGGGGGGUGGUAACCCACAGUUUGUCAGUUUGUUAAUAUAAAGCUUCCGUUUGCUGUUCACACAGGAAAUCAUUAUUCCUACCAAGAGGAAGCAAAUACUUGCAUUUUGUUUUUCUGUAACAA